UCUGGGCUUUGCCCGGUGCGGUUUGUGUCGGUGCUUGCCUGCCCGCACGCAGGUGGCUGAGGGGACUUCCCUCCCAAAAUACCGGUCGGGAGUUAAUGCCCACCCCGGAUAGCCUCCUGCAGUCAGGACUGGAACGGAGAAUUGCCUCUGCAGGAGCGUUUCAAGGACAGAAACAGAGGAGUGGUAACUUUAUUUAGGUCAAGUUCUGGGAACAGGAUGAAGGCCUUUCAAUGAGUCAAAAGAAAUCCUGCCUCAAAAAAUGGCUGCUUGUUUCCUGUGUUCAGGGGUGAUGCCACGCUGAAGGGGACAUGUCAUCAACCAGAGAACUGUAAAAGGGAAAGCUACAGAACUGUUACUUGGCAGCUGACUAGAGUGAUGGAUGAAUUGCACAUUAUCACCUAGAAGAGCUUAUUUCCGACUUGGAGAACUAGCACUUCGUUCUAGAAUUGAGACAUAUUUUAAGCAGAAAGCAGCGUGACCUGGAUUAGAACAGUCUGAAAAUUGCAUGGAAGUCAACUGAAUCCACUCAUUUCACCACAAACACCUCUUUUCUGUAAAUUUAGUAAUAGUGUUAUCAUAUGCCAGAACAUGAAUAUGUACAACGCAUAUAUCCCUGUAGCUAACAAACUUAAGACUGUUCUACUGAGACCAAAAAUACUCAAAAAUCUGUUAAAAGUCGUAUUUACAUAACAAAUCCAGCGGGCAUCACUUUUCAUCGAGUGCUUCUAAGUCAGAUAAACAAGUUGCUGGCAGUCUUUCCUAAGUAAACAAGUUCUGUUAAGGUUUCUGUCCGUACCACUAGAGAAUGAGUGGGUUUGUGUUAUGUUUAUUAUCCUGUGUUUAUUAGUACUUGUUUUGCUGUAGCACAUCUUUGUUCAAACACUACUACCCACAUAAAUUCAAGGAAAUAGAAACCAACAUUUGAUAUAUUGAUCCAACUAAGCAUAAAAUGAGCUCUGCGUGAAUUUCACAGAAUUACUGUAGUCAUAGCUUUAGCAUCUCACUUCAUUUCAAUGUGAUUACAUCUAUAUGAUCCAUAGGGAGCAAUAAAUAAAAAGUGAUUUUUUUUUUCCCUUA